rnacentral:rRNA from 1 species
UAGUAACGGCGAGUGAAGCGGCAACAGCUCAAAUUUGAAAUCUGGCCCCGUCGGGGUCCGAGUUGUAAUUUGUAGAGAGUGUUUCGGGCGAGACCACGGUCUAAGUCUAUUGGAACAUGGCGUCAUAGAGGGUGAGAAUCCCGUAUGUGACCGUGGCUCGAGCCCAUGUGAAGCCUCUUCGACGAGUCGAGUUGUUUGGGAAUGCAGCUCAAAAUGGGUGGUAAAUUUCAUCUAAAGCUAAAUACUGGCUGGAGACCGAUAGCGCACAAGUAGAGUGAUCGAAAGAUGAAAAGCACUUUGGAAAGAGAGUCAAAAAGUACGUGAAAUUGUUGAAAGGGAAGCGCUUGCAACCAGACCUGUCCGUAGGUGAUCAGCCGCUGUUCUCAGUGGUGCACUCGCUCUGCGAUCAGGCCAGCAUCGGUUCCGGCGGUCGGAUAAAGGCCUUGGGAAUGUAGCUCCCUUCGGGGAGUCUUAUAGCCCUCGGUGCAAUGCGGCCAGCCGGGACCGAGGACCGCGCUUCGGCUAGGAUGCUGGCGUAAUGGUUGUAAGCGACCCGUCUUGAAACACGGACCAAGGAGUCUAACAUCUAUGCGAGUGUUUGGGUGUUAAACCCAUGCGCGGAAUGAAAGUGAACGGAGGUGAGAACCCUUUAGGGCGCAUCAUCGACCGAUCCAGAUGUCUUCGGAUGGAUUUGAGUAUGAGCAUAGCUGUUGGGACCCGAAAGAUGGUGAACUAUGCCUGAAUAGGGUGAAGCCAGAGGAAACUCUGGUGGAGGCUCGCAGCGGUUCUGACGUGCAAAUCGAUCGUCAAAUUUGGGUAUAGGGGCGAAA